GGGCUGCUCCUAGUACGAGAGGACCGGAGUGGACGCAUCACUGGUGUUCGGGUUGUCAUGCCAAUGGCACUGCCCGGUAGCUAAAUGCGGAAGAGAUAAGUGCUGAAAGCAUCUAAGCACGAAACUUGCCCCGAGAUGAGUUCUCCCUGACUCCUUGAGAGUCCUGAAGGAACGUUGAAGACGACGACGUUGAUAGGCCGGGUGUGUAAGCGCAGCGAUGCGUUGAGCUAACCGGUACUAAUGAACCGUGAGGCUUAACCUUACAACGCCGAAGCUGUU
rnacentral:rRNA from 1 species